ensembl:lncRNA
ACAAAGUUUAUGCAAAAUGAAGUUACAGAUAGUAUUGUACAUCCUGCUAACAAUCACAAUGAUGAAAGUGAUAGAUACGACGAACAUGACGAUAGUCACUCAAUUGAUAGUGAAGAGAAUAGUUCCUACAUGGAUAGUGAUGCUAAUAGUAGUGACAGUAGCGUUGAUGUUGACAAUGUAACUCUGUAUGACAACAUUUCAAAUGAUUAUGAACAGAAUAUGGCACUUUCCAAAAAAAACCCACUACAUUCUGACACGUUAAAUGAAGUUACUAUUUCGAAUGAUAAUAUAGCACAGGAGAAAAACAUAAAUACAAAUAAACAAAAUGGAUUUAACUUGUUAAACAACCAUGACGAAGAAAGUAAAAAGUCUCACUUAGGUAAGAGGGAAAGUAGUAAUACCUUAGCAAAUAAAGAUAAUGAUAAAACAAUGUUAACAAGUAUGUUAGUGUGGCAAGAUUUUGAUUUGGAUAAGAAUGUGAGAGGGACACUUGAGAAAGGUGUUCACGAUAAUGAAGAUUAUGGUGAUAGCAACAAAAGUGUUAAUACAGAAAAUAGUGGCAAUAAUAGUGAACUUUAUGAAAGAAUAAAUGUUAGAGCAAGUUCUCUUGAUCGUCAAGGUAGGACAAGUGAAAAUAAUAAAAGCUAUAAAGAAAUAAGUACAAAUAUGGAAGAAACAAGUUUAUUAAAUAAAGAAAACGAUUCGGAGCUUAUAAAUGAAGGUGAUAAGGAAGGAAAUGAUACUAGAUGGUUGACAAACAAGCAUGAUAACAGGAACGAGUGUAAUGAGCUCGUCUAUAGUGCUAAGCAAGAUGGUAGUGAAAAUGUGACCAAGUGUAGUAAUAGUGACAAUAUAGUUAAAAGUUGUAGUAGUGAAAAUGUGACCAAGUGUAAUAAUAGUGACACUGUAGUUAAAAGUUGUAGUAGUGAAAACGUGACCAAGUGUAGUAAUAGUGACAAUAUAGUUAAAAGUAGUAGUAGUGAAAAUGUGACCAAGUGUAAUAAUAGUGACAUUAUAGUUAAAAGCGGUAGUAGUGAAAAUGUGACCAAGUGUAGUAAUAGUGACACUGUAGUUAAAAGCGAUAAUAGUGAAAACUGUAUGGAGAACAUUGUGGACGAUAGCUAUUUUAAGAACUUAGAAAAGAAAGAA